AGUGAACGCUGGCGGUAGGCCUAACACAUGCAAGUCGAACGGCAGCACAGUAAGAGCUUGCUCUUACGGGUGGCGAGUGGCGGACGGGAGAGGAAUACAUCGGAAUCUACUUUUUCGUGGGGGAUAACGUAGGGAAACUUACGCUAAUACCGCAUACGACCUACGGGUGAAAGCAGGGGAUCUUCGGACCUUGCGCGAUUGAAUGAGCCGAUGUCGGAUUAGCUAGUUGGCGGGGUAAAGGCCCACCAAGGCGACGAUCCGUAGCUGGUCUGAGAGGAUGAUCAGCCACACUGGAACUGAGACACGGUCCAGCCUCCUACGGGAGGCAGCAGUGGGGAAUAUUGGACAAUGGGCGCAAGCCUGAUCCAGCCAUACCGCGUGGGUGAAGAAGGCCUUCGGGUUGUAAAGCCCUUUUGUUGGGAAGAAAAGCAGCAGGUUAAUACCCCGCUGUUCUGACGGUACCCAAAGAAUAAGCACCGGCUAACUUCGUG
rnacentral:rRNA from 1 species